AUGCCUUACACAUGCAAGUCGAACGGCAGCACGGAGGCAACUCUGGUGGCGAGUGGCGAACGGGUGAGUAAUAUAUCGGAACGUACCCAAGAGAGGGGGAUAACGCAGCGAAAGUUGCGCUAAUACCGCAUACGAUCUACGGAUGAAAGUGGGGGAUCUGAAAGGACCUCACGCUCCUGGAGCGGCCGAUAUCUGAUUAGCUAGUUGGUGAGGUAAAAGCUCACCAAGGCGACGAUCAGUAGCUGGUCUGAGAGGACGACCAGCCACACUGGAACUGAGACACGGUCCAG
rnacentral:rRNA from 1 species